AAAAUAACCAAAAGCUAUCCCUGCGCAUUGAACUUCGUCACAAUGCUUGUCCCGCCGGCGUUAUCAGUGUUCUUGAUAAAGCGUAGCCGCUCGUCGCCUGGAAAUGACUUAUCAUCCUAAGAGCGUUUAGUCGCGACGAGCGAUGAUUGAUUCUGGGCUUGUGAUACGGUUCUAUUUUUUCUUUUUCUUUCUUUUCCUUUGUUCUUUUUGAUGCUACGGAGUAAACAAGCUAGGCUAACCAUAGAGGAAGAAAUUCAACAAGAGGGGACACUCUUCAGAAACUGGCAACAGGAAACACGUCACGCCUAGUUUCAACAACAUCCGUUAGUUGACGCGAGCAUUAGAAAAAAAGAAUGUGAAAUAAACUUCCAGACAACGUUUUAUUUUUUUUAUUCCUUCCUACUAAAAGUGAAAAAGUUUUGCGUGUAAAUGAACUUAUACUUUGCAACUUUUUGUUGCGUGGCCUAGCAACAAGCUAGCGGCACACCAGACGCGCGUGCAUACGUCAUGCGCCAGACAAGCCGCAGGAGUGAGCGAGGCCGGUCGUACGUGCGAAGCUCGUGUGCUCGGCGACCCGUCUGUUUUGGAUAUAGCCCAUUUUUUGGGCUCCCGGCCUUCUCUAUGCUCCUCUUGCGUAUCGUCUGCAUUUCGACACGGCACCACUGCACUACUGGACUACGGCAAGCUGAUGACAUCCGGUGGAGCAUGGUACGGCAACGACUGCUGCUUACCUGGUGCCACAACUUUGGAUGAAUGCAGGAGAAGCCCGGAACGAGCAUUUAUAUAGAGCAAAAUAAACAUUUCAUCAUUUCAGAA